UAUUAUUUUACUUUAUUAUAAGAAUAUGGGAUUUCUUGAUUUAUAUAUUUUCUGUUAUGUAAGUAUAUUUUCAAUAUAAUUUGUAUACAAUACAAUUGUUUAACAUAAUUUUGUAGUAUGACUAUUUCUCUUAUAUAGGAUAGGAACAUAGCAAUAUCUCCAUGUGAAAGUGUGUGAACACUGCCAUCCUGUGGCAUACAUCAAUCUGCACUAUUUAUUGCAAAUGUGGAAUAUAUGAAAUGUUUUAUAGUUUGACAGUUGACUGAAUUACAGGUGUUAAAGAGGAACUUCCUAGGGAUUAUAGGGAUCUGUGUGUAACUUCUGAUUUUGGUACUCCCUGUUGUUUUUUUUGUUUUUGUUUUUUUGGUUCAUAAUUGCCAUACAGCUUCUUUCUCUGUCUUCAUUCUGUCUCUGUGUUUCUCUCUUGUCUCUCAGUGUAACAGGUUUUUGUAGAGAGCUGAUGUGUUUCCUGUCACUGUGGGCUGCAGAGCACAGUAGUACAGAGCAGAGUCUGAUAGAGCAGCAGAAGAUAUCUCCAGAUCCACAAGGUCCUUUUUUGUAAUGUUAACAGAGAAUCUUGGAUCUAUCUUAGACACCUCAGCUUCUUUUGCUUUACUGUGGGUUUUUUGUACGGUGUACUUGUGUUUCCUGCCACUGUGGGCGCCAGAGCACAGUAGUACAGAGCAGAGUCUGAUACAGCAGCAGAGGAGAUCUUCAGAUCCACAUGUUCCUUUUUUGUCACAUUAACAGUAAAUCUUGGAUCUACAACAGAACGCUGAACCUCUUUUUUAGUGUCAUAUGUGAGUACAAUAAAUUCAGGUUUCGAUCUUCCAUACUGACGGUACCAGUGGAGAUAAUCUGUAGUGCUAGAGUCAGUAAAACUACAGGAUAAUGUAACACUUGAACCUUCCUCAGCAAAAACAUUGGUUUUGUUUGGUUUGAUGACAUUUCCAAAGACAGAAACUGAAAAAGAAAAGGUACAUUUGUAUUUUUUUCUUCUUUAAUAAUCAACUAAAUAAUGAGCUAAAUAAAUAAACAUACCAGCUGACACACACAGCAGAAUAACUGAGUGAAGAUCCAUUGUACAAGUGUUCACUCUGAGAAGAGUCAGACUGAAUCGUUUCUACCACAGUUUCUGUCAGACAUAACUACAUCAUGUCAGAUCUAAGUCCCUCCUCUUUUGACACUUCAAGACAAAAGAAAAGCUUUAUUUUGUUGGAAUAGUUUUUCUUGGGGCCUUGCUCAUUACUGCUGAGUGGGUGCAUAGUAGAUUUUGUUACACAAGUUUAAAUUAACAUUAGUCAUAUUCAACACUUAAAGUGUCGAUUUUAACACUACUAAAGAUCAUAUAUGGUCCCAAUCUGUCUAGUGUUAAAAAUACACCGUUCAUAGUGUUGAAUUUUAAGUGUUAAUAUAGCACAUUAUAGUGUAGAAAAAUUACACUCCAGGGAUAAAGUGUUACACUUGCUAUUGUUGUUUAAAUUUUACACUAUGGGGUAUUUAACACCCCUGGUGUUGUUUUAAUCCUUUAAGUGUUAUUAAUAAAGUAUUCUUUUCAGUGCAAAUUAAAAAAAAAAUGCUAUUGUGUGGUGUUAAUGUACAAGACAUGAAAUCAAGAGUCUUCAGACAGAUUUUAACGUUUAAAUUUUAACGUUUAUUUAACAAAUGGGCAAAGUGGCAACUUUAAAG
rnacentral:lncRNA from 1 species